AUGGCCACGGGACCCGAGAUCUUCCGGCCACUCGCAGUCACCGGCGACGUCGUGGAGGCGCCGGCGUUGCUGAUCGCCACAGGCAAGGAUCAGCUCGUGGAUCCGGUGAUCUGGGGCGACGAGGAGCGGAUGAAGAGGGAGCUCAUGGCGUGGGCCAAGGCCGUCGCGUCCAUGGCGCUCAACGGCUCCGUCGACUCGUCGUCGCCCCUUUCCAUGGGCCGACGGCAGAGAAGCCAGGGAGCGAGCCGCCUCCAGCUUAGUAUUUAG
rnacentral:rRNA from 1 species